rnacentral:rRNA from 1 species
GAUGACCGCUGGCGGCGUGCCUAAUACAUGCAAGUCGAGCGAAGCGGGGCCGGGUGCGUAACACGUGGAUAACCUCCUAUCAGACUGGGAUAACUUCGGGAAACCGGAGCUAAACCGGAUACUUCUCGUUGGAUCCGCGCUGCAUUAGCUAAUUGGUAAGUUAACGGCUUACCAAGGCAACGAUGCAUAGCCGACCUGAGAGGGUGAUCGGCAAACCGUGAACUUGGACAAGGUCAAGACGAAUACGGGGUGGAGCAGUAGGGAAUCUUGCGCAAUGGGCGAAAGCCUGACGUAGCAACGCCGCGUGAGUGAUGAAGGGCGGCGGAUCGUAAAACUCUGUUAGUAGGGAAGCGGUACCUAAUCAGAAAUCCACGGCUAACUACGUUCCAGCAGCCGCGGUAAUUC